rnacentral:rRNA from 1 species
ACGAACGCUGGCGGCGUGCUUAACACAUGCAAGUCGCACAGAAAGGCCCUGCUUUUGUGGGGUGCUCGAGUGGCGAACGGGUGAGUAACACGUGAGUAACCUGCCCUUGACUUUGGGAUAACUUCAGGAAACUGGGGCUAAUACCGGAUAGGAGCUCCUGCUGCAUGGUGGGGGUUGGAAAGUUUCGGCGGUUGGGGAUGGACUCGCGGCUUAUCAGCUUGUUGGUGGGGUAGUGGCUUACCAAGGCUUUGACGGGUAGCCGGCCUGAGAGGGUGACCGGCCACAUUGGGACUGAGAUACGGCCCAGACUCCUACGGGAGGCAGCAGUGGGAAUAUUGCACAAUGGGCGGAAGCCUGAUGCAGCAACGCCGCGUGCGGGAUGACGGCCUUCGGGUUGUAAACCGCUUUCGCCUGUGACGAAGCGUGAGUGACGGUAAUGGGUAAAGAAGCACCGGCUAACUACGUG